AACUCGAUCUCAAAUCAAGUAAGACUACCCGCUGAACUUAAGCAUAUCAAUAAGCGGAGGAAAAGAAACUAACAAGGAUUCCCCUAGUAACGGCGAGUGAAGCGGGAUGAGCUCAAAUUUAAAAUCUGGCUGGUUUACUAGUCCGAAUUGUAGUUUAAAGAAGCGUUUUCGGUGGCAGCCUGGGUAUAAAUCCUUUGGAACAGGGUAUCAUAGAGGGUGAGAAUCCCGUCUUUGACUCAGUGCAUGCUACUAUGUGAUACGUUUUCAAAGAGUCGAGUUGUUUGGGAAUGCAGCUCAAAAUGGGUGGUAAAUUUCAUCUAAGGCUAAAUAUUGGCGAGAGACCGAUAGCGAACAAGUACCGUGAGGGAAAGAUGAAAAGAACUUUGAAAAGAGAGUUAAACAGUGCGUGAAAUUGUUGAAAGGGAAACGCUUGACACCAGUCAUGCGAGCGGAAAAUCAGUCUUUUGCAGUGGGGAGUUGUGUGGGUUCGGACCGCAAGGCCGGCCUGUGCUGCAUCUCUGCUGUAAGUGAUGCACUUUUUCGUUUGCAGGCCAACAUCAGUUUCUUCUGCUGGACAAAACUCUUGAGAAGGUAGCAGCUUUGGCUGUGUUAUAGCUCUUGAGCGAUACAGUGGAGGGGACUGAGGUUUUCGCAGCGCGUGCUCUCGGGCAAGGCUGAUUGGGUGCUAUGGGAUCGUUCGGUGUACAAUGCAUGCAUUUUGCGCCGUGUCUUUUCUAUACUCGCUCAACUCGGCUCUUCCGCGCUUAGGAUGUUGGCUUAAUGGUUUUAAUCGACCCGUCUUGAAACACGGACCAAGGAGUCUAACAUAUAUGCAAGUGU
rnacentral:rRNA from 1 species